CGAAACGCUGGCGGCGUGCCUANUACAUGCAAGUCGAACGAACUCUGGUAUUGAUUGGUGCUUGCAUCAUGAUUUACAUUUGAGUGAGUGGCGUACUGGUGAGUAACACGUGGGAAACCUGCCCAGAAGCGGGGGAUAACACCUGGAAACAGAUGCUAAUACCGCAUAACAACUUGGACCGCAUGGUCCGAGUUUGAAAGAUGGCUUCGGCUAUCACUUUUGGAUGGUCCCGCGGCGUAUUAGCUAGAUGGUGGGGUAACGGCUCACCAUGGCAAUGAUACGUAGCCGACCUGAGAGGGUAAUCGGCCACAUUGGGACUGAGACACGGCCCAAACUCCUACGGGAGGCAGCAGUAGGGAAUCUUCCACAAUGGACGAAAGUCUGAUGGAGCAACGCCGCGUGAGUGAAGAAGGGUUUCGGCUCGUAAAACUCUGUUGUUAAAGAAGAACAUAUCUGAGAGUAACUGUUCAGGUAUUGACGGUAUUUAACCAGAAAGCCACGGCUAACUACGUGCCAGCAGCCGCGGUAAUACGUAGGUGGCAAGCGUUGUCCGGAUUUAUUGGGCGUAAAGCGAGCGCAGGCGGUUUUUUAAGUCUGAUGUGAAAGCCUUCGGCUCAACCGAAGAAGUGCAUCGGAAACUGGGAAACUUGAGUGCAGAAGAGGACAGUGGAACUCCAUGUGUAGCGGUGAAAUGCGUAGAUAUAUGGAAGAACACCAGUGGCGAAGGCGGCUGUCUGGUCUGUAACUGACGCUGAGGCUCGAAAGUAUGGGUAGCAAACAGGAUUAGAUACCCUGGUAGUCCAUACCGUAAACGAUGAAUGCUAAGUGUUGGAGGGUUUCCGCCCUUCAGUGCUGCAGCUAACGCAUUA
rnacentral:rRNA from 1 species